rnacentral:lncRNA from 1 species
UGGCAAGAUCCUUCAGCCACUGCGGACUUCUGGUGAAGAGGAGUUUUCAGCUAUCAAGAUUUCAAAGUAAAAGCUGCCCAAGGCAGAUGGAGGAAUGGAAACUGAGAAAGCAUCAUAGGCUCAUGUCUAACAACAUGAACAGACUCUGGAACCUCAGAAGUAAAAUGCAAAGGCGAGGACAGCCCAGGAGGAAGCUCCACUCCUGCCUAAGGACCCCAAAGCACUCAAACGCUAUCUUCUGAAGGACUUUGGGAGACAAUAGAGUACCCAAUCUUUGCCUCACCCCACCCAGCCAUUCUUCACUUGGUUAAUUGAAGAGACACCAC